UUCCACCACUAUUGGUCUGCAGCUCUUCUUAUGGUAGCAGUUGUUGCAUUUCUCUGUGGGAAAGAAAAGAGGAUUAAACACCUCUUUCUUAGCAAAACAGAGAGUAGGCAUAUGUGUGACAGACACAA
ensembl:snoRNA